rnacentral:rRNA from 1 species
AUGAACGCUGGCGGCAGGCCUAACACAUGCAAGUCGAGCGGUUGAGAGUAGCUUGCUACUUGAUGCAGCGGCGAACGGGUGAGUAACGCGUAGGAAUCUACCCAGUAGCGGGGGAUAGCCCGGGGAAACUCGGAUUAAUACCGCAUACGCCCUAAGGGGGAAAGCAGGGGAUCUUCGGACCUUGCACUAUUGGAAGAGCCUGCGUUGGAUUAGCUAGUUGGUAGGGUAAAGGCCUACCAAGGCGACGAUCCAUAGCUGGUCUGAGAGGAUGAUCAGCCACACCGGAACUGAGACACGGUCCGGACUCCUACGGGAGGCAGCAGUGGGGAAUAUUGGACAAUGGGGGCAACCCUGAUCCAGCCAUGCCGCGUGUGUGAAGAAGGCCUUCGGGUUGUAAAGCACUUUAAGUGGGGAGAAAGGCUCGGCAGCUAAUAUCUGCCGGGAUUGAUGCUACCCACAGAAUAAGCACCGGCUAACUCUGUGCCAGCCGCCGCGGUAAGAC